rnacentral:rRNA from 1 species
UCGUGUCGUGAGAUGUUGGUUAAGUCCGUAACGAGCGCAACCCUUGUCCUUAGUUACCAGCACGUUAUGUGGGCACUCUAAGGAGACUGCCGGUGACAAACCGGAGGAAGUGGGGAUGACGUCAAGUCAUCAUGGCCCUUACGGCCUGGGCUACACACGUGCUACAAUGGUCGGUACAAAGGGUUGCCAAGCCGCGAGGUGGAGCUAAUCCCAUAAAACCGAUCGUAGUCCGGAUCGCAGUCUGCAACUCGACUGCGUGAAGUCGGAAUCGCUAGUAAUCGUGAAUCAGAAUGUCACGGUGAAUACGUUCCCGGGCCUU